CCCUACGGACACGCCCUGUCCCUGCCCUGCUGCGCAAUGUGGCCCUGGAAUUAUAUUAAUUUAAACCUGGACUGAUGCAGUGAGGGGACCACUGGUAUCCAUUUAAUGCUUUACAGUUUACGAAUCGUGUUCUAUCGCUUCAACCAUCUUGUGAGGAUAUCUUGAGUAGAAGAACACAGCCAGCUUGAGCCUAUCCUGCUGAGGUGACCUCAGAGGAAGGGAUUUGGUGACGGACUAGCAGCUGUCUUUGACAGGACCUCUCCAGAGUACAGAAGCUACCAAGUCCCCAGCUCAUGGAGCAGCCAAGGGAUGUUGUGGAACAUAUCUCCUAAGGUAUGUCUCCUCCACAAAGCUGUGAGUUCCUUGAAGACAGGGACGAAGUCGAAUCCUUCCCUGUGUCCUCAGGGCCCAGCACAAGCUGACACACCUCACACUGGCCAUCCCAUACCAGUCAUGCUAUCUUCAGUUCCAAGUAACACAGAUUAAAGGCACCUUAGCCAAUUAGAGCCUAUUGGUAUGAGGGCAGAGGUGUGGAGUCUGGAAACCAUCUUCUGUGAAGAACAGAAGAAUCAGGAAAGUUAAACUUGAAGAAGAGACCACAUUUGCUGACCCAACAGGCCAUUUCUGGGUACUUCUUCUGUGUGAGGCCCUGGGCUGGGCCUGAGGAGGCCACAGAGGAUGCAGCUACAGUCCCUGCCUGGAGAGACCACAAUCUGGACAGGGUCAGAUGUGGAAUGAAGUAACUAUAACACAGUGUGGCCACUGCCAUUAGAGGGGGAUGUGGGUAGACAUGGCCAGGAAAGGACUCUUAGAGGAGGCCUUGCAGGAGGGUAGAGUUAUGACUGUGUUGGAGGCGGGUUUCAGUUUAGGAGGAAGAAUACCUGUCUAACAAUCAGAAUUCUGUAGGGAUGGAAGGCUGCCUGAGCACGGCCAUAAUGAACACUUCACAGACUGGAUAUUGAUGUCUGUCCACAAAAGAACCAAUGUGGAGGCGAUAGGAAAUUCUUCGUAACAACAUAGAUAUGAAACUUGCUUCCUUUUACAUGCUAGGUACUAGGAUACAAACACAAACAAACAGUUUCUGGCUUAGAAAACCUCGCAAUUUAGAUAUUGCAAAAAUGUAACACUUUAGCCUUAGACCAGUGUCUCUUGGAUUUGAAUAAUGUAUGGAUUCCUCAAAAAUUAUUGAGUUACUCAGUGCUGGCAAUGCAAAUAUGUUCAAAUUUAAACUCAGUAUAAAUUCUAAUGCAACUAUAAAAGCAUAUCUUUUAUACAGGUAAUUUUUUAUUCAGUACAAACUUUUAUUGAAUAUGAACAAAACUAAAAAAUGAAUAAAGUACCAAUAACACUAAUGCCACUGGUCUUGUUGAAUUCUGUAAACAUUCUCCAGCUAGUAAGUGAAAAAGGCAUGACAGAAUCAGAAUAUCACAUUUUGUGGGGCGCCUGGGUGGCUCAGUCAUUAAGCAU